AAGGCUUUAAGUUAAAAAAACUAAUAUCCUUCAAAGCUAAUAAUAAAGAAUUUUCUUUAAGCCUUA
rnacentral:tRNA from 1 species